rnacentral:misc_RNA from 1 species
ACAAAAUUGAAGGAAUAGCCACAAAGAAGUAUAUUCCCCUUAACCAAGUUUUUGUUCAACAGUUCUGGUCUCUGGCAGUCUGAAGGACUGUACUUCAUUACUGAAGAAUCUAGUAGUACAUCAUUUGCAGCAACCAAGGUAUAUGUUUGAUUUGGAUUUGUAGAGGGUGACAAUCCAAUUCCAGGUAAAAUUUUUCCAUUUCCAAGAGUCAGAUGGUUCUUGUAUCUCCGAUCAUCAAUUGCAGCUGCUACAGAUGUUAUCCAGGGACUAUAAGAAACCAAGGUUUUAGGGAAGGGACCUCCAUUACCAGCUGCCUGUGCAACAAAUACACCUGCUUUCACAGCUGCAAGAAGGGUAGCAUCAAAGGGAUUUAAAAAUGUCGUCUUGGUGGUUGCUGGAGGACUGUUAGGACCCACCGAGAGGCUGAGUAUAUCCACUCCAUCAUGAACAGCCUGAUCAAUAGC